rnacentral:tRNA from 1 species
AUUUAGGUAGUUUAAAUUUAAAGAACAAUAAUUUGUGGAGUUAUAGGUGUAGAAUUUAUCCUAAAUC